rnacentral:tRNA from 1 species
GCGUCCAUUGUCUAAUGGAUAGGACAGAGG